GGGGCCGGGAGGGGCGUGACCCUCUCGCCGAACCGCGCGGCCGAGCAAGCAGAAACCAUUGGCGGUCUCCUCAGAGAGCACUCGGGCAUUGGUGACAAGUUGCCCUCGUCUCACCUCUUCGCAAGGCCAGCGAGAAAGGCCCGCCGGGGCUCCAAACCCGGCGGUCCCCACGACCCUCAGAGCGCAGGAGCCACCAAACACAGCGACUCCACAUCUCCUGCUUUCGGGCCGGCGGGAGGAGGCGAAAGGCUGGCUGAAUCACGCUCAGGAUUUCGGGCAACGUAGUUCUGGCACCGCGAGGAUGCUGGGAAGUGUAGUUUUCCGCCUGCCGCACAGGGGACCGCCGGCGCGGACUCCAACCGCCGUCCUGCAGAUGGGCCUCUGCACAGACGGACCCACAAUCCAGGAGCAUGGUUCACAGCGGCUCCGCUCCUCCCACCGCCCCUUCCCGACCGCCGCACGACGUUACCGCCCUAAGAAAGCGGGACCGCGUCUGAGAACCUUCUAGCAACCGUUUCCUAGCAACGAGGAACAGCUCAACAGCGAGAGUUCCCUGAGAAAGCCGGCGGCCAUCAGGCGCGCCUGGCCGAGAGACGGAGUCACAUCCUACCGCGGGGAAACCUGGGACCUAAAUCCUCGUCCGCGGAGCAUUCCGGGAGAUCGCGCAGAAACCUGGGAAAUGUAGUCCAGAGAGGGCCUCAUUCAUGCUGGUUCACGACCUACUGCUUCGCCCUCUGGUGUACAGGAGGACGAACGUCAGUCCUUGUCUCGGCGGAAACCGUUUGUUGCCACAGUGGACCUGAUUUUCACCACUUAUCCCUGGAUGAUCACUGUUCUGGAGGAGUUCACAGACUACUUGGAAGAUAGAGACCAUUGUAGAUCACAUGGGAAAGGGGCAGGGAAAUGGUGAGAAAUGAAGCAGGAGCAAGACCCUGAAGGACCCUGUAUGCUACGUAGAGAAGUUUUGACUUUCUCCUAGGGCACUGGAAGGAUACUGAAGAUGCUCAGAGUAGUUGCAGUGAACACUUGUGGAUUGGUGAAAGGCUGCCUUCAAAGUGAGCUUUCCGGAACAUAAGUAUUUCUCAUAUAAAACCUUCUGGGGGAUCCCUGGGUGGCACAGCGGUUUGGUGCCUGCCUUUGGCCCAGGGUGCUAUCCUGGAGACCCGGGAUCGAAUCCCAUGUCGGGCUCCUGGUGCAUGGAGC